GGUACCCUUUUCUUGGUGGAUUGUUCAACUUUUAAAGCGUAGAUUGGAUUAUGUUUCCUAUUCCUCCAAUAAAGAAGGGCAAUGUGAAGUUGUCGGUGAACCGUUCGAUAUAUCUGUAUCUGGGUACCGGUGGCUACAUGACCUGGAUCGCUUGAAGAAGAAAGACGUCUGAAGCGGAUGAUUUGUAGUCUUAGCAAGCUUCAGAAGAUUUGAUCGAAUCAGACUAGAAUUACAACGACUGCUCAGAGAUGUCCGAGAUGUCGCUCUGAGUGAUAAGAGUCGAGAUAGCGAGUAACACUAUCCGCAAGGGCCAGCAGCGCGAGGAGAUGGAAGGUGAUGUAGAGCAGCAGCAACGCCGAUAUAUCCAGCCAGAGGUUGCUGCUCGUGAAAUCGUACUGCAUGAGAACUUCGUCGCCGGUGCUCACGCAAGGAACGCCAGUUGAAUUCGAGUUUGUACACG